AUUGAACGCUGGCGGCAGGCUUAACACAUGCAAGUCGAACGAGUGGCGGACGGGUGAGUAAUGCUUGGGAAUCUAGCUUAUGGAGGGGGAUAACUACGGGACACUGUAGCUAAUACCGCGUACCAUAGGAUGAGUCCAGGUGGGAUUUGUUAGUUGGUGAGGUAAAGGAUCACCAAGCCGACGAUCUCUAGCUGGGCUGAGAGGAUGACCAGCCCCACUGGGACUGAGCCACGGCCCAGUCUCAUACGGGAGGGAGCGGUGGGGAAUAGUGCGCAAGGGGGGCAGCCUGACGCAGCCCUGCCGCGUGAAUGAAGAGAGCCUGCGGGUUGUAAAGUUCUUUCGGUAGCGAAGCGUUAACUACAGAAUAAGCACCGGCUAACUCCGUGCCAGCAGCCGCGGUAAUAC
rnacentral:rRNA from 1 species